UAUUAGACCCAUCCGAAGGGAGCCACUAUGGUGGUCGCCUCCAAGGCAUCACUCUCUCUGCUGCCCCUCAGGAGCUCCUCUGGUAUCUCGUUCUCUUGUCGACCAUCCUCCACGUCGAUCUCUUGGGGACGAUCCUGCACGCCAAUGGCAUCUCUCAGCGUCGCGUCGGCGCCUGCGAUCUCCGAGAUCUUCUCCCGGUUGAAGGAGAAAAAUAAGGUUGCAUUUAUUCCCUUUAUUACUGCUGGAGAUCCUGAUCUAUCCACGACAUCAAAAGCACUUAAAGUUCUUGAUUCUUCUGGAUCAGACUUGAUAGAAUUAGGGAUUCCCUAUUCUGAUCCAUUGGCAGAUGGGCCUGUAAUCCAGGCGGCUGCCACACGGGCUCUGGCAAAAGGCACAAAUUUUGAUGGAGUUAUCUCAAUGUUAAGGGAGGUUGUACCUGAACUUUCAUGUCCAAUUGCUCUCUUUACAUAUUACAAUCCAAUUCUGAAGCGGGGAAUCGAUAAGUUCAUGUCUAUUAUAAAAGAUGUUGGUGUUCGGGGGCUUGUGGUGCCUGAUGUCCCUUUAGAGGAGACUGAGAAUUUAAGAAAGGAAGCUGUUAGGCAUAAAAUUGAGCUGGUAAGUCUCCAUGAUAUCUUCAUUCUUACUUUAUCUACUAAUUUUGUACAUAUGACCCUUUUUAUCAUUAUUAAUCUUCCAGAAUUCUUCGUUGUGGUUCUUAUCAAAAAAAAUUUUGUUGGUAAGAAAGUUAGAGUUUGUUAUCAUUACCUUUGGCUAGAUAAAAGAGAAUAUUCUCCUAAACUGAAAAUAAAAAAGGAAAAAAGGCUAUACAAUCACAACACUAGGGUAUUGUUUCAUAUCCAAUGAUAAACAUUUAGCUUGUCGAUGCAUUGUGGUGCCUUUUCAGUAUGUACUAUCACAUUGCCCUGCAGGUGCUUCUUACAACACCUACCACCCCAACAGAAAGAAUGAAAGGAAUUGUACAAGCUUCACAAGGAUUUGUUUACUUGGUAAUUAUUUCAUUUUUCAGCUUAUCUACACUUUUAUAUAGGGUGCCUGAUAUCAAAUGACAGAUAAGCAAGCAUAACCAGGACUAAAAAAGUGUUAAAAAGAUGGAGUUAUAUUUUCACUAGGGAGAUUAUCUCCUGAUGCAUUUUGUUGAAUUUUGAUGCUGGAUAUGUAUUCCAUGGGUUUCAUUGAAUCUAGUAGAUAUGUCGAAUUUUUUAAAUUAGUUUGAUGCAGUGAGUUACAGUAAGCCUAGUUUCCACUCAUUUCUCUUGGAAUGUGAAAUUAAACCACCUGCAAUCUUCUAUCUCAAUAAAUUGGCUUCACUGCUUAAGUAGUAGAGCAAUUAUUUAUCAUCCAUUUCCUGAUAAUCUUAAAACUUUUUAGCACAGUGAACUUAAGCCUCUCUAGCUACUAAAACCUCAUAAAUCUUCACAUAGUUGUUGUAGUUCUUAAUUUCUUUGAUCUUUAAUUUUGCUUUGUGUAGGUUAGCUCUGUUGGAGUUACUGGUGCCCGUACAUCUGUUAGUUCACGUGUGCAAUCUCUCCUGCAAGAGAUUAAAGAGGCCACAACUAAACCAGUUGCAGUUGGCUUUGGCAUAUCUAAACCAGAGCAUGUGAAACAGGUAGCUGGAUGGGGAGCUGAUGGUGUGAUCGUUGGCAGUGCAAUAGUGAAACUUUUAGGCGAGGCGAAAUCCCCAGAAGAAGGGUUGAAAGAACUUGAAUCCUUCACUAGGUCCUUGAAGGCUGCUCUGCCCUGAGACUGAGAUUUCUUCAGUCUCAAUAGAGUUAUUUCCCUUGGUGUGGUUGUUCUCUUCUUGUUUUUGAGGAAUUAGCAUGUAAAUUGGCUCCAUCAAGAAACAACUUAACAUGCAAAAUGAGUGGAAUUCUCCUAGUUUUGUAUUAACACUAUUAAAUUUCUUACCUUCUUUGCUACUCCAAA